rnacentral:rRNA from 1 species
CCUACGGGUGGCAGCAGUGAGGAAUAUUGGUCAAUGGCCGAGAGGCUGAACCAGCCAAGUCGCGUGAGGGAAGAAUGUCCUAUGGAUUGUAAACCUCUUUUGUCAGGGAGCAAAGUCACCCACGUGUGGGUGUUGGAGAGUACCUGAAGAAAAAGCAUCGGCUAACUCCGUGCCAGCAGCCGCGGUAAUACGGAGGAUGCGAGCGUUAUCCGGAAUGACUGGGCGUAAAGGGUGCGUAGGUGGUUUGACAAGUUAGUUGCGAAACUCCGGAGCUCAACUUCGGAACUACUACUAAAACUGUUGGACUUGAGUGCAGGAGAGGCAAUCGGAAUUCCUAGUGUAGCGGUGGAAUGCGUAGAUAUUAGGAGGAACACCAGUGGCGAAGGCGGAUUGCUAGACUGUAACUGACACUGAGGCACGAAAGCGUGGGGAGCAAACAGGAUUAGAUACCCUAGUAGUC